rnacentral:lncRNA from 1 species
UGGGUUCAAACUUGGCCUUGUCAUUUCAGCAGCUGUGUGUCCUUGACCAAAUGGCUCAGCCUCUCUGAGUCUAGGUUUUCUCAUCUGUACAAUGGGGAUAAUAAUAUCUACUUCACAGGAUAGAGGUGAGAUAAUAGAGAUACAGGUCCAAAUGCAGCAUUGCUGGCUACAUACAGGCAGAUUCUGGGGCCUCACCCCGAGAAUCUUGGUGAUUCAGACUCACCAAGUCAGAAUCCUUGCGGGUGAGGCUCGGAAACCAUUUUUGUAAGUCUUCCCAGGUGAUUCCAAGUACAGCCAGGUCUUCGCACCCACACAGCCAGACGGCCCCUGAAAAGCUUUCUCAGCCUUUGCAGUCUGUUUCUGGCCGCAUCAAAUGUGCUGAGCAGUGUGGGUUUGGUUCAGUGUUCAUCCCCCACUUUCAUCAGAGACAGGGGGCUUCUCUUGGUCCUCACUCAUGGGAGGAAGCCGCAAGCGGAGACGACUAAGUGGAGAAAUAAAUCUCUAGCAGCUGCCUGCUGCCCUGCUCUGGAGGUUGUCUGCGAGGAGGAGAAACGGCUAACUUCCAAGAACUGGGGUGCUUUCUCCCCACCUAUCAGCUGAAUCGAAACUGAAAAUAUGCCUCCGAGGCUGGAGAUCCGUGACAGGCUUGAAACCUUGACAAGCCAACCCUUCUCAUGUGGC